ensembl:ncRNA W01H2.9 ncRNA
CCCCAAAGCAGAAUACCUGAUUAGCUGUGAUAAUUGUAGGAGGUUGAGCAAGUAAGUGCGUCAGUUAGAAGCUCAAAGUACAUUGAAAAAGUGUAUUUUGUUGUGUGUAUGCAUCAAGUUGCAUGCCAUUCCGUCCCUCAG